rnacentral:rRNA from 1 species
GGGCCCGCACAAGCAGUGGAGUAUGUGGUUUAAUUCGAAGCAACGCGAAGAACCUUACCAGGUCUUGACAUCUACCUAAUCCGGCAGAGAUGCUGGAGUGCCUUUCGGGGAAAGGUAAGACAGGUGGUGCAUGGUUGUCGUCAGCUCGUGUCGUGAGAUGUUGGGUUAAGUCCCGCAACGAGCGCAACCCUUGUGAUUAGUUGCUACGCAAGAGCACUCUAAUCAGACUGCCGUUGACAAAACGGAGGAAGGUGGGGACGACGUCAAAUCAUCAUGCCCCUUAUGACCUGGGCUACACACGUACUACAAUGGCCAUCAACAGAGGGAAGCAAAACCGUGAGGCGGAGCAAACCCCUAAAAAUGGUCUCAGUUCGGAUCGUAGGCUGCAACUCGCCUACGUGAAGCUGGAAUUGCUAGUAAUCGCGGAUCAUCAUGCCGCGGUGAAUACGUUCCCGGGCCUUGUACACACCGCCCGUCACACCAUGGGAGCCGGUAAUACCCGAAGUCGGUAGUCUAACCGCAAGGAGGACGCCGCCGAAGGUAGGAUUGGCGACUGGGGUGAAGUCGUAACAAGGUAGCCGUAUCGGAAGGUGCGGCU